rnacentral:lncRNA from 1 species
AUUUUAUCCAAGUGAUCUGCUCUUCCUCUCUAAUUUCUUUGCAUUUACAUUAUGAAAAGGAGACCUAAAUUCAUUUAAUAUGGUGUUAGCAUGACUGAUAUGCUUCCAUUUCUCAGAGUUCUCAUUAUUUAUCUCAAAAUUCAGGAAUUUCUCUUGUUCCCUGCUUUUACUGUUUACUUUUCUGCUAGUGCAACAUUCCCCACUACAGACAUCUACAGCUUUUGUAUUGGAAGGCUUCAUCUUCAAAGCAAAGGACAUGGUACAAAAAAUGGAAAAUUAACCAAAAAUAAAGAGGAAACAAUCAAAGCAACCAAAAUAACAAAAUUGUUGGAGCUACUGUCCUUAAAAUUCUAUAUGGAAUUCAAGGAAUGGUCCUUCAGUUGUGUACAGAGGAUAACAGGGGCUUCACUGAUACAUUCUUCAGUGAACCAAGAGAUUUUCAUACUACCUCAGGUGAACAAACCUUCAAAAAUCUACAUAUAUAAUACUAUUUUCUGUGUCCCCUUAUUAAGAAGGCUAAGUGCUAAGUGACUUGUGAAAGAU